rnacentral:rRNA from 1 species
AGGACGAACGCUGGCGGCGUGCCUAACACAUGCAAGUCGAACGGGGAUUUGUUUCGGCAGAAUCCUAGUGGCGAACGGGUGAGUAACGCGUAGGCAACCUGCCCUCCGGCCGGGGACAACACUCCGAAAGGGGUGCUAAUACCGGAUACGAAGUCUGUGCCGCAUGGUACGGAUUUGAAAGAUGGCCUCUAUUUAUAAGCUAUCGCCGGGGGAUGGGCCCUGCGUCCGAUUAGCUGGUUGGUGGGGUAACGGCCUACCAAGGCGACGAUCGGUAGCCGGUCUGAGAGGAUGAACGGCCACAUUGGGACUGAGACACGGCCCAGACUCCUACGGGAGGCAGCAGUGGGGAAUCUUCCGCAAUGGGCGCAAGCCUGACGGAGCAAACCGCCGCGUGAGUGAGGAAGUUCUUCGGGACGUAAAGCUCUGUUGUUCCUGACGAACCUCCCCUUUAUCAACAACGGAGGGGACUGACGGUAGGGAACGAGGAAGCCACGGCUAACUACGUGCCAGCCGCCGC